rnacentral:rRNA from 1 species
AUACGUAGGGUGCGAGCGUUGUCCGGAAUUACUGGGCGUAAAGAGCUCGUAGGUGGUUUGUCGCGUCGUCUGCGAAAUUCCGGGGCUUAACUCCGGGCGUGCAGGCGAUACGGGCAUAACUUGAGUACUGUAGGGGAGACUGGAAUUCCUGGUGUAGCGGUGAAAUGCGCAGAUAUCAGGAGGAACACCGGUGGCGAAGGCGGGUCUCUGGGCAGUAAGUGACGCGGAGGAGCGAAAGCAUGGGUAGCGAACAGGAUUAGAUGCCCUGGUAGUCCAUGCUGUAAACGGUGGGCGCUAGGUGUAGGGGUCUUCCACGACUUCUGUGCCGUAGCUAACGCAUUAAGCGCCCCGCCUGGGGAGUACGGCCGCAAGGCUAAAACUCAAAGGAAUUGACGGGG